rnacentral:rRNA from 1 species
CUUUGUGGACAGACCUCCUUGUUAAAGCCUGUUCUCUUCAGAUCUCAGGAGCUAUGCAAGAGCAGGGCUGGUUAGUACGUGGAUGGGAGACUGCUGGGACUACCAGGUGUCGUGGGUG